CCUGUUCCUUCUGGCAGGUUGGGCGCGGGUUUAACUGUUAAAGCUCCCGAUGAUGCCAUCAGUUUCUCAAUUACAGCCUACGAAAUCAAGAGCUGACUUCACACAACCUUAUUGGCAGUUUCUACUGACGUGCUUCCUCCUGACUGCAGAGAACACCGAGCAGCUCCUCUCCAUCGCUCAGACAAAAAGCCUGAACGGCCAUUCCAGGAAUGGAAAAAAAAAUAAAAUAACCUGCUAGGAAGGGGAAAACCAAACAAACCCACUACCCUCUCCAAGCCUGAAAGACUCCAACAGGAAGAAAUACCACACACGACCUGUAACAGGCUGGAGACACAUGCAAGCAAAGCCACUCCUGAGGAUCUUACUGUAAACAGGAGACUGUAUACACCCAACACACUGCAAAGAACAGCUAAUCCCUGGGAAAAUGUUAAAGGCACAGUGCUGCUUCCGCCAACAUCUGCACUUGCCACUUACUCAAGCAGCUCUGCCUCCCAUUCAUGAAGAAAAUUCCCUCGUGGCUCCCUGCUCUUUGCUUUUAGGAAAGAAAAAAAAAAGAAGUCAGCUCUGAGUGGAACCCAGUUUGUGAAAUCAGUAAGUCCUCUGACAAGCUGAAAGGUUAGCCAGGUGCCUAGUACACAGGGCAGCUCUUGAGUAAGGUCUGAGAAGCUCCUCAAGCAGCACCUGCUCCCGACUGUGCUUAUCUUGUGAGGGUUCCUGGUUAGGAAGCAGCUUCCCCUUUCUGGCCGUGCAUGGCUGUGCAGUGACUGUGCAGCUAACAAGCAUCGCCCUCCAGUGGGUGACACCCCCAACUGCCAUCUUGCUCAGAUUCAGCAAGAUCUGAUCUACUCCCAACCAUAACACUACCUUCAGUGCUGUUUGUUAGAAGUGUAGCACAGAAAAUCCCCCCCCAGCCCCCAAACUCUGACCAGACGGACAGGGACCUGGUCUACAUCGCUGCUGUUCUGUAGCUUCAUGUUCUGAAGAGAAUUGCAGCAAUUCAGCAGCACAAGGGAAAAGAACUGGUUGCAGCCCCACCUUGUCUGAUCAAUACUCACAGAAAAUCACACAACCUGGGCUGAGCUCAGUAAGAUAUUGGCAUGCAGAAGGUUGGACAGGCCAGCACACCACGAUGGCUUUUCAUAAGGCCUCGUGCAGUAGGGAAGCCAGGAACAAACUCAGUUGCUUUAUUAUUUUCACAUAAACAGGAAACAUAAUUUUAAUACAGAUAUAUUUUUUU
rnacentral:lncRNA from 1 species